rnacentral:rRNA from 1 species
UAUUGGACAAUGGGCGGAACCCUGAUCCAGCGACGCCGCGUGAGUGAAGAAGUAUUUCGGUAUGUAAAGCUCUAUCAGCAGGGAAGACAGAAAUGACGGUACGUGACUAAGAAGCCCCGGCUAACUACGUGCCAGCAGCCGCGGUAAUACGUAGGGGGCAAGCGUUAUCCGGAUUUACUGGGUGUAAUGGGAGCGUAGACGGCGAUGCAAGUCUGAAGUGAAAGGCGGGGGCCCAACCCCCGGACUGCUUUGGAAACUGUAUGGCUGGAGUGCAGGAGAGGUAAGUAGAAUUCCUAGUGUAGCGGUGAACUGCGUAGAUAUUAGGAGGAACACCAGUGGCGAAGGCGGCUUACUGGACUGUAACUGACGUUGAGCCUCGAAAGCGUGGGGAGCAAACAG